rnacentral:rRNA from 1 species
UACGAAGGGGGGCUAGCGUUGCUCGGAAUCACUGGGCGUAAAGGGUGCGUAGGCGGGUCUUUAAGUCAGACGUGAAAUCCCUCGGCUUAACCGGGGAACUGCAUCUGAUACUGGAUGGCUUGAGUUCGGGAGAGGGAUGCGGAAUUCCAGGUGUAGCGGUGAAAUGCGUAGAUAUCUGGAGGAACACCGGUGGCGAAGGCGGCAUCCUGGACCGACACUGACGCUGAGGAGCGAAAGCCAGGGGGAGCAAAGCGGGG